CGGCAGCACGGGAGCAAUCCUGGUGGCGAGUGGCGAACGGGUGAGUAAUACAUCGGAACGUGUCCUGUAGUGGGGGAUAGCCCGGCGAAAGCCGGAUUAAUACCGCAUACGCUCUACGGAGGAAAGGGGGGGAUCUUAGGACCUCUCGCUACAGGGGCGGCCGAUGGCAGAUUAGCUAGUUGGUGGGGUAAAGGCCUACCAAGGCGACGAUCUGUAGCUGGUCUGAGAGGACGACCAGCCACACUGGGACUGAGACACGGCCCAGACUCCUACGGGAGGCAGCAGUGGGGAAUUUUGGACAAUGGGCGCAAGCCUGAUCCAGCAAUGCCGCGUGUGUGAAGAAGGCCUUCGGGUUGUAAAGCACUUUUGUCCGGAAAGAAAACUUCCUGGUUAAUACCCGGGGAGGAUGACGGUACCGGAAGAAUAAGCACCGGCUAACUACGUGCCAGCAGCCGCGGUAAUACGUAGGGUGCAAGCGUUAAUCGGAAUUACUGGGCGUAAAGCGUGCGCAGGCGGUCCGCUAAGACAGAUGUGAAAUCCCCGGGCUUAACCUGGGAACUGCAUUUGUGACUGGCGGGCUAGAGUAUGGCAGAGGGGGGUAGAAUUCCACGUGUAGCAGUGAAAUGCGUAGAGAUGUGGAGGA
rnacentral:rRNA from 1 species